UGUUUGGUUUGGCACCCAGCACAUCACUUCUCAUCAUGCUCCGCAAAAUAGGCUAAGUGGAUGAAGGAAUUAAUGAAGGGAUGGAAGGAUGAAUAGUGCACCUUGAGAGGAGUCUCCAUCUGUUCUCCCAGACACAAACUUUGCAGGUGGGGCACAGUGUUUGUCGUCAUACAGGCCGGAAAAAAAACUAGAAGACAUUACCUUCAGCUUCCCAGAGCUAUCUACCUACUGUGGAGGUGGAAGAGCCUAGAUCUGCUACAAGUAGGGCUGAUGUCCUUUAAGGAAGAGAAAAAGACACCAGGAGUGAUGAACACAUAAAGAGAGGCCAUGUGAGGAUAUAGCAGGAAGAUGGUUGUGUACAAGUCAAGAAGGAAAGCUUCAGGAGAAACCAACCCUGAGAGCACCUUGAUCUUGGACUUCCAGCCUCCAGAACUGUAAGAAAAUGAAUUUUGUUGUUUUACCCAGUCUGUGGUGUUUUGUUAUGGUAGCCUGAGCAGACUAAUACAGCAUCUGAGAAAUAUUAGUUU
rnacentral:lncRNA from 1 species